UGCAUAUAGGUAUCACAUUUUUUUAAUCCAGUCAUCUAUAGUGGGGCGUUUGGGUUGUUUCCAUAUCUUGGCUAUUGUGAAUAGUGCAGCAAUGAACAUGGAGGUCCAGGUGUCCUUGUCGUGUCUUGGUUCCUGUUGUUUGGGAUAGAUGCCCAGUAGUGGUAUGGCUGGGUCAUAGGGUAUGUUUAUGUUUAGUUCUCUGAGAA